rnacentral:tRNA from 1 species
GUGGCGUCACAAUGGAAGUAGGGCCGUCGCCGACUGAAAAUCGGAAGGUCGGCGGUUCGACCCCGCCCCUGACCA